GGCUCCAUAGCUCAGGGAUUAGAGCACUGGUCUUGUAAACCAGGGGCCGUGAGGGGCCGUGAGUUCGAAUCUCACUGGGGCCU